rnacentral:rRNA from 1 species
ACGGCGAGUGAAGCGGCAACAGCUCAAAUUUGAAAUCCGGCCCUUUCAGGGCCCGAGUUGUAAUUUGUAGAAGAUGUUUCGGGUGCGGCCCCGGUCUAAGUCCCUUGGAACAGGGUGUCACAGAGGGUGAGAAUCCCGUAUGUGACCGGCGGUCAAGUCCAUGUGAAACUCCUUCGACGAGUCGAGUUGUUUGGGAAUGCAGCUCAAAAUGGGUGGUAAAUUUCAUCUAAAGCUAAAUACCGGCCAGAGACCGAUAGCGCACAAGUAGAGUGAUCGAAAGAUGAAAAGCACUUUGAAAAGAGAGUUAAAAAGUACGUGAAAUUGUUGAAAGGGAAGCGCUUGCCACCAGACCUGCCCGCGGACGCUCAGCGGGGGUUUUCCCCCGUGCAUUCGUCCGGGAACAGGCCAGCAUCGGUUCGGGUGGCCGGAUAAAGGCCCUGGGAAUGUAGCUUCCCUCGGGAAGUGUUAUAGCCCGGGGUGCAAUACGGCCAACCGGGACCGAGGACCGCGCUUCGGCAAGGAUGCUGGCGUAAUGGUUGUAAGCGGCCCGUCUUGAAACACGGACCAAGGAGUCUAACAUCUAUGCGAGUGUUUGGGUGUCAAACCCAUGCGCGCAAUGAAAGUGAACGGAGGUGGGAGCCCUUCAGGGUGCACCAUCGACCGAUCCAGAAGUUUACGGAUGGAUUUGAGUAUGAGCAUAGCUGUUGGGACCCGAAAGAUGGUGAACUAUGCCUGAAUAGGGUGAAGCCAGAGGAAACUCUGGUGGAGGCUCGCAGCGGUUCUGACGUGCAAAUCGAUCGUCAAAUUUGGGUAUAGGGGC